AACGCUAGCUACAGGCUUAACACAUGCAAGUCGAGGGUAAACGACAUCGAAAGCUUGCUUUUGGUGGGCGUCGACCGGCGCACGGGUGAGUAACGCGUAUCCAACCUGCCCACCACUUGGGAAUAACCUUGCGAAAGUAAGACUAAUACCCAAUGAUAUCCCACGAAGGCAUCCGAAUGGGAUUAAAGAUUUAUCGGUGAUGGAUGGGGAUGCGUCUGAUUAGCUUGUUGGCGGGGUAACGGCCCACCAAGGCUACGAUCAGUAGGGGUUCUGAGAGGAAGGUCCCCCACAUUGGAACUGAGACACGGUCCAAACUCCUACGGGAGGCAGCAGUGAGGAAUAUUGGUCAAUGGGCGAGAGCCUGAACCAGCCAAGUAGCGUGCAGGAUGACGGCCCUAUGGGUUGUAAACCUCUUUUGUUUGGGAAUAAAGUGCGGGACGUGUCCCGCAUUGCAUGUACCAUUUGAAUAAGGACCGGCUAAUUCCGUGCCAGCAGCCGCGGUAAUACGGAAGGUCCGGGCGUUAUCCGGAUUUAUUGGGUUUAAAGGGAGCGCAGGCCGUGGGUUAAGCGUGUCGUGAAAUUCCGUCGCUCAACGGCGGACGUGCGGCGCGAACUGGUCCACUUGAGUACGCGGGACGUUGGCGGAAUUCGUGGUGUAGCGGUGAAAUGCUUAGAUAUCACGAAGAACUCCGAUUG
rnacentral:rRNA from 1 species